rnacentral:sRNA from 1 species
ACAAACACACUAAUAAAAGUAACAUAUAACGAGGUCUGAAGCAGAGAUGAAACUUGCAGAUCCUUAUCGCAAAUUCUACACCAGAUCGACGAGUUCUAGGCUCGAGACGCUUCGAAAAUGAAUCACUUAUUGACCUUCGCCCUUCUCGGUAUGCUUGUCGCCCUUGUGGCCACCCAGACCACUGCCCCGUUGACCGAGGCCGAGAAGAGAGCUUACGUCAUGUGCGUCAUAGAGCACAACCUGUCGUCCGCUUCAUGCAAGAACAUAGCCAAGAGCCAGGCCGCCAACAACAACGAGGCCACUGCCUGUAGCACACUGGAGACCUUCAAGCUCACCCUCAGCCUCUUUGGCUGCACCCAGGCUGACUACGAUCUCCUGCAUAAAAUCCUUUGUGAGAAGCAGCACGUUGUUGUCUGUCCUUAGUACUUAACAUCACUAGUAAAGUUUAUCGUUAAUUAACAACCGA